GCCCAGGCCCUACGGGGCGCAGCAGGCGCGAAAACUCCACACUGUACGCGAGUACGAUGGGGUUAUCUCGAGUGCAGUCCGAUAAGGGCUGCUUUUCCAUAGAGUAAUAUCCUGUGGGAAUAAGAGGGGGGCAAGACUGGUGUCAGCCGCCGCGGUAACACCAGCCCCUCGAGUGGUGGGGACUAUUAUUUGGCCUAAAGCGUCCGUAGCUGGCUGUAUCCGUCCCCCGUUAAAUCCAGCGUCCUAAACGUUGGACUGCGGGUGAUACCAUACAGCUAGAGGGUGGGAUAGGUGAGCGGUAUUUCUGGGGUAGGGGCGAAAUCCUUUGAUCCCAGGAGGACCACCAGUGGCGAAGGCUGCUCACUUGAACACGCCUGACGGUCAGGGACGAAAGCUGGGGCAGCGAACCGGAUUAGAUACCCGGGUAGUCCCAGCUGUAAACGAUGCUAGCUAGGUGUUGGGUCGGCCACGCGCCGCCCCAGUGCCGCAGGGAAGCCGUUAAGCUAGCCGCCUGGGGAGUACGGCCGCAAGGCUGAAACUUAA
rnacentral:rRNA from 1 species